AGAUUUCUUCACUGGUUUCCACUCAUUCCAACCCCUCGUCUCUGCUUGGCUGGGAUGGUCUUAAUACUGGCUACUUCGUAACGUUCUCAUGAACCAAAAAACAUCACUAAUAGACUCCGUCCUUCUUUCUGAAAUGAGGGAUAUGCUUCCUGCCUUCAGCAUUCCUCAACUUCAGUCUAUUUUGAAACCAGGGCUGGUGAAUUGGUUAAAUUCCAUCAAUGGAAAGGGCAUCCUAGCACCCUCUGCGAACCACUGUGAGCAGCAAGGUCCUAGAGGAUCUGUUGGGAGUGUCUCUGCAGCUGGCAGCCUGCAACAGUGCUGGCGUUUUCUGGAGAGGGGACAGAUUAGCUCUGAAGCCUCAGGUAUCUGACAUGACAGUUACUGCCUCCUGUUUUAGGUAAUCAGCCCUGCUGUCUCCUGGAGCAACUCUCAGUGAUUGUGUCAGAUGUGCUAUCACUGUGAGCUCUAUGUUUUUCCCUUUCCUUGUCAAGUGUAUCUCUUCCUUAAGCUCAGAGAGCGAGAUGGUAUUAGCCCUACAUACAAGGACCAGCUCACAUUAAGGCACUGCCUUCAGUCUGAUGGAGAGCCAGACUUGGCAGCACUGCAGAAGCUUCUCCUUUCUGCUGGUGGAAUGGGUCUGGAGAGUUUCCACUGCCCAAGCCAGCACAGCAUGACCAGAGCUCUGGGUGUUCGGUGGACGUCAGUCUGCAGCCAAAGUCCAGGCAUCUACUUCAGUUCUCUGCUGAGAUUGGAGCCCAGCUCUGAAAGUUAGAUGAGUUCUCACCUUUCUUCUGAGCUCUGACUCUGCUUCUGACACUCUUGGUCCAACCUGGAUAGAGUGUGGAGGUGAAAUGUUGACAGUGUCUGGUGUUGACCUCAGACUCUGAGCUCCAGCCCUACCUUCUCAGGUGGUUGCCCUUGGGGACUGAUGCGAAUCCCGGGUGGACUAGCACUAGUCUGCUGCUGACGCUUGGUGAGUCAAAUGUACCUUGUCUUGCUGUUCCAGUCUGGAAGCUACUGGC
rnacentral:lncRNA from 1 species